rnacentral:lncRNA from 1 species
GGCGGUGUCUCGUAACGACGUGUAGUUUACGUUCUUCGCCACUGAGGUGGCGGCAGCUCCCCCAGGAACCGUUCCCCACUGACACACUGGCUGGCCACAUGCUUCACCUCGCGGCUCUCAAAGCCCAGCACGUGAAAGCUGUGGUGGCUGCCGUGAUUUAGGGCUGACGUUCGCGGGGGCAGCGGCGACGCGGUGCUGCACCGAUGGCCAGCUGCUGCUCUCAGGUGCCCUGGGUGGCCGCCGCCGAUCGCCGGUAUAGCUCCCCAUCGCCGCGCCGCCUUUAAGUCUUCGGGACAGGAAGGCCGGGCGGGAAGAAAACGGAACCGAGACGUUGACGAGGGCAUGACGACGACGCGUCUCAACGACCAGAAGGGGAGGCCUGCUGCGCGUGCUGCAUUCAGGCAGCCAGUGGACCGCGCGGUUUUACGACGGGGCGCACGGCUCCUCCUUUCGAUGGCACUGCAGCGGUUAGCGACGGCGUAGUGCCACCAGACGCCUCUCGAAGAAGCCGCGCGCUCGAUGUGUCGCGCGGCGGCGCACAGCGGACCGCUGCUCCUGCGACAGGCGAUCCCUGGUCCGGCGCUCGAGACAAGGGCGGCUCUCAUACGUAGCCCACUCGUCUGGUUUCCUCUGUCUCUGGUGUGCCUGGCCUGGAAUCUCCCUCGUCUCUUCUUUCGCAGGCCAGUGGGGACAAAAAGCAACCGGCGGCCGCCGUCCGAGACAAGACCGCAUCUAUCAUUACACGCGGGCCCUGCCUCUUCUUCCAGCGCCGCUCGAAGGCCAUAAAGUCUCACGGUGCUUCGGCACCCCGGGCGCGCCUGCCGCUGUAUCCCAACUCGCACACGCACAGAGGCGACUGAACAAACAGAUGUCUACGAGUCGAAAGCGGAAUCGAAGGCCCUACCACCCCCUCCGCCCUUCUUCCCUUCCUCGC